UACGUAGGGUGCGAGCGUUGUCCGGAAUUACUGGGCGUAAAGAGCUCGUAGGCGGUGUGUCGCGUCGGCCGUGAAAACCUGCAGCUUAACUGUGGGCUUGCGGUCGAUACGGGCAUCACUGGAGUUCGGCAGGGGAGACUGGAAUUCCUGGUGUAGCGGUGAAAUGCGCAGAUAUCAGGAGGAACACCGAUGGCGAAGGCAGGUCUCUGGGCCACUACUGACGCUGAGAAGCGAAAGCAUGGGGAGCGAACAGG
rnacentral:rRNA from 1 species